rnacentral:rRNA from 1 species
GCAGUAGAACGCUGAAGAGAGGAGCUUGCUCUUCUUGGAUGAGUUGCGAACGGGUGAGUAACGCGUAGGUAACCUGCCUUGUAGCGGGGGAUAACUAUUGGAAACGAUAGCUAAUACCGCAUAACAAUGGAUGACACAUGUCAUUUAUUUGAAAGGGGCAAUUGCUCCACUACAAGAUGGACCUGCGUUGUAUUAGCUAGUAGGUGAGGUAACGGCUCACCUAGGCGACGAUACAUAGCCGACCUGAGAGGGUGAUCGGCCACACUGGGACUGAGACACGGCCCAGACUCCUACGGGAGGCAGCAGUAGGGAAUCUUCGGCAAUGGGGGCAACCCUGACCGAGCAACGCCGCGUGAGUGAAGAAGGUUUUCGGAUCGUAAAGCUCUGUUGUAAGUCAAGAACGAGUGUGAGAGUGGAAAGUUCACACUGUGACGGUAGCUUACCAGAAAGGGACGGCUAACUACGUGCCAGCAGCCGCGGUAAUACGUAGGUCCCGAGCGUUGUCCGGAUUUAUUGGGCGUAAAGCGAGCGCAGGCGGUUUGAUAAGUCUGAAGUUAAAGGCUGUGGCUCAACCAUAGUUCGCUUUGGAAACUGUCAAACUUGAGUGCAGAAGGGGAGAGUGGAAUUCCAUGUGUAGCGGUGAAAUGCGUAGAUAUAUGGAGGAACACCGGUGGCGAAAGCGGCUCUCUGGUCUGUAACUGACGCUGAGGCUCGAAAGCGUGGGGAGCGAACAGGAUUAGAUACCCUGGUAGUCCACGCCGUAAACGAUGAGUGCUAGGUGUUGGAUCCUUUCCGGGAUUCAGUGCCGCAGCUAACGCAUUAAGCACUCCGCCUGGGGAGUACGACCGCAAGGUUGAAACUCAAAGGAAUUGACGGGGGCCCGCACAAGCGGUGGAGCAUGUGGUUUAAUUCGAAGCAACGCGAAGAACCUUACCAGGUCUUGACAUCCCGAUGCUAUUUCUAGAGAUAGAAAGUUACUUCGGUACAUCGGUGACAGGUGGUGCAUGGUUGUCGUCAGCUCGUGUCGUGAGAUGUUGGGUUAAGUCCCGCAACGAGCGCAACCCCUAUUGUUAGUUGCCAUCAUUCAGUUGGGCACUCUAGCGAGACUGCCGGUAAUAAACCGGAGGAAGGUGGGGAUGACGUCAAAUCAUCAUGCCCCUUAUGACCUGGGCUACACACGUGCUACAAUGGUUGGUACAACGAGUUGCGAGUCGGUGACGGCAAGCUAAUCUCUUAAAGCCAAUCUCAGUUCGGAUUGUAGGCUGCAACUCGCCUACAUGAAGUCGGAAUCGCUAGUAAUCGCGGAUCAGCACGCCGCGGUGAAUACGUUCCCGGGCCUUGUACACACCGCCCGUCACACCACGAGAGUUUGUAACACCCGAAGUCGGUGAGGUAACCUUUGGAGCCAGCCGCCUA